rnacentral:rRNA from 1 species
GACAGAGGGUGCAAACGUUGUUCGGAAUUACUGGGCGUAAAGCGUGUGUAGGCGGCUACGUAAGUCGGAUGUGAAAGCCCCGGGCUCAACCCGGGAAGUGCACUCGAUACUGCGUAGCUAGAGUGUCGGAGAGGUUGGUGGAAUUCUCGGUGUAGAGGUGAAAUUCGUAGAUAUCGAGAGGAACACCGGUGGCGAAGGCGGCCAACUGGACGAACACUGACGCUGAGGUGCGAAAGCGUGGGGAGCAAACAGG